GUCAUAAUUAGGAAUGCACGAAAAUGUGCGUUUAGUGUUCUCGGUCGGUUGCAUUUGCUACUAAUUAACUGCGUUGCAAUGCUGUAUUAUUCACAAAUGUGGAUCCCUCCUAACCAACUGUCAAUGUUUCACGAAAUUCCAUCUAUUAUUGAAACACAAACUGGUUUGUUCGGUCGACAUGAAUCAUCGAAAAUGAAAAUGUUUCGCCUUAAUUGGCAAAGAUAUUCUAUCAACCGUUAUUCUCCAAAAUCAGACCACUCUGGGUGGUCGAAUACCGAACAGCGAAACAACAACAGUAAAGAACACCUCCGCUUAAAGUUUAAUGUCGAGAACCUGGAUACUUUUUUGUAGGCCAAACAACGCAUAAAACUUAUCAUUUUGUGACCCAACACAGCCAACCUCAAUCAAGCAGCCUUUCUUGGAGAUCGCCUAUCGCUCACUUAAUCCUCUCACCAGGGAUUCCAUUUGCGAUCAUGUGUUAUUCCCAUAUUUUUAUUAGCAAUUCCAAAUUCGUUCCGCUCAUCCUGGGGCAAGGUUUGGCAAAACAGCGAAAAGCACUCGCUUUAUGAUGAAGCUGUGAUUUUGAUGCUGGCAUAAAUUUCACAGCUAAUAUUAAUAACAAUACAGAUCGUUGGAGUGCGAAAUUUAUUAGCUUGCUGGAAUAAA